UGGGGAAUAUCGCACAAUGGGCGAAAGCCUGAUGCAGCAACGCCGCGUGAGUGAUGAAGGUCUUCGGAUUGUAAAGCUCUGUCUUUUGGGACGAUAAUGACGGUACCAAAGGAGGAAGCCACGGCUAACUACGUGCCAGCAGCCGCGGUAAUACGUAGGUGGCGAGCGUUGUCCGGAUUUACUGGGCGUAAAGGGUGCGUAGGCGGAUGUUUAAGUGAGAUGUGAAAUACCCGGGCUUAACUUGGGUGCUGCAUUUCAAACUGGAUAUCUAGAGUGCAGGAGAGGAGAAUGGAAUUCCUAGUGUAGCGGUGAAAUGCGUAGAGAUUAGGAAGAACACCAGUGGCGAAGGCGAUUCUCUGGACUGUAACUGACGCUGAGGCACGAAAAGCGUGGGUAGCAAACAGGAUUAGAU
rnacentral:rRNA from 1 species